rnacentral:tRNA from 1 species
GAUAAAGCCAAAUUUGAGGCUUAUCACUGUUAAUGAUAGAAUUAGGUAUAAACCUUAUCU